AUAGAGCUGUGGAAGAAAAAGCCUGGAGCAAAAUUCACCAGAUUUGAACCGUUUAGGUUAAACAACUUCCAACUGUAGGUGGUGGACAUGCGCUAGUGAACAGUAGAAAAACAAGAAGAAGAAGCCCCUCCCCCCUUGUCCAAUGUGAACACCAUGACUUAUACUCCCGUUCAAGAACACGCAUUUGGUGCAUUCAGGAGGAAGCGUGUGAGUGUGAACUUAGCUAAACGGUUGAGUGGAUUCCUUUAUCCGGUUUACUGAAGGUUAAAGCUGCACGAUAUGAGGAAAAGUCGCGGUUUUCGAUCUCAAAGAUCAAUAUUGCGAUAAAGAUAUAACAAAACCACCAAAAUCCUCAAUUCUAUUUUGCUGCAACAGUUUAAUUGAAAUAGGAGUCAACAUAACUUUAUAUUCCAAAUGACCCUCAUCUACAGAGGCGGCGAACAUCUGAUUGGUCAAAUGUAUAAAAGGAUUUAUUUGAUUCAUUAAAAACUUUAAGCUGCCAAAUUGGAUCCAAAUCGGCGAACACUGUAAUUUGAAUGAUUUGAACGUGAUCUAUCCCUAAAUAAGAUUUUUAUUCUGUAACAAAAUUAAUAAAAAUGCAACAGAUGUCAUUUUUAGCAUAUAUGAUUGACACCACACAACCUGGAUGGGGUUCUAACUGGGUUCUGCUCUUAAACACAAUGCAAAGUGUUUCCGUGUGGAGCAAUCUAUCAAGCUUUCAGGAAGUGAUGUCAUCACCCCCAUCGUGGCUGAUAAAAGCUGGUUGUUGAAGUUGGCAGAGCUGCAGAGGGGUCACCCAGCUGAUGGUGCUGUUGCCGGGAAACGAGCCUGGCAUCCACAGACGGGCUCUGAGCUCAUAGCUGAGGUUUUGGAGAUUUCCGCUCUGGAAGGAAUCCAGAGGGAAGCGUCCUGAUUGGACGUGGGGUAGACAAAGGGGGGCAUUGUGACGACUCAGACAGACCGCAGUCUGUAUCGGGGGUCCGCCCCGCCUCUACCCCUCCACCACUGCCAAGCAGGAUGUUAAUGCAGCUGCUUCCUGUUUUCCGUCUCCCCGCUUCAGCAGGUGAGUGGACACUCAAUCCCAACGGAAACGCUUCUCUCCAUCAAACAGGAAUCCUCUUCACAGGCGUGUUUGAUCGCAGUCUGAUCCAAGAAUAAAAAACGCUCCAGCUCCGAUCUUAAACACCUGGGAUCCACAGACAAAGAAAACCCCACAGGUGAGCUACAGAAAUGUGCAGAGCAGGCUGACCACUGCGAUGACGACACACCUGAUGGACACAUCCAUCCAUCCAUCAGCAGCUCUCAGAGGACACUGGGCUUCAACGAUGGACGCCCUGGCUCUGGGCCAAUCAGAGCGCAGCAUCCUUCAUGCUCCUAAACAGAUUAGGGUGUCUACAGCGGUCGCAGGAGGGAGCGCUAAUCAAUUUAUGGAGGAGUGGAAGUGGAGGAGAUGCCUCUGCAGAGCUGUGCACGCUUUCUCUCAAUCUCUUCUUUCAACUGGAAUCAUUUAAACAAACCAUUUUUGUUCAUUAAACGUGGAAUAUUAAUAAUAUUAUGAUAGUAUACUAUCACAUCUGAGCUGUGCAAAGACAAUGUGACCCAAAAAAUGAAUCCAAUUGAAUCAGGAGCGACCAUCAUCUAAAGAUUCAUGCUUUGACUUUGAAGGUCUUGAGCAGAGAGAUUCCAACUACAAGCCAGAAACACAAAUUUUUCCUUUUAAAGAAUGUGUAAUUUGAUAAUUUAAUUAAAUUCAAAUCUGUUUGAGCACGUGUUUAAAUAAAGUCUUACUACAAGAACUACAGGCUUGCAUCAUUUCUACACAGCAAAGAAAGGACGAGCAAAGGAGAACGAGGAGGGCAGCCUCCAACCCUUGGAUAACGGAAAAUGGGACGAGCAAAGAGGAGCAGCCUAAGGAGGCGGAGCCAAAGGCGAACACCCGCGAGGCGGAGCUCAAACUCCGACCAACAACCCCGUUAGCUCGCGUGUGUCCGUGGUGCCGCACAUGCCGACAACAACAAUAACAUCCACGUGAAGCAGACUGAGAUCAGCUGAUACGAUUCAUGGUGGGACUGCGUCGCCACGGAGAAGCAUCUGUCGUUCAACAGAGACUUUUGGUUUCUUUUUGGGACUGAGUCAGACUGGAUUCCCGCCUCACCUGCGGCUUUAUCUCAUCUGAUCGGCCUUCAUCGUCAAACGAAAGCCCUGAGCGAAUGAUCUGGGAUUUCCACUGACGUCACCGCGACGCCUCGAACAUCUGAACCGACAGCGGAGGAAUUCUGGGAAUGCUGCAAGGAAUCUUAAAUGAAUGUGACGAAAGGAAACCGUGUUGACCGUCUGCAUCAGAUAACCAUCGCAACCGAACACACAUGAAACCCAACGUCACUAAAAUCUAAGGGCAGGCAACAAGUUAAGGCGAAAAGCUGAAGCGCUUUUUUUCAGUUUUGCUUUGGGCAAAUGGCGCCGGCAAACGGAAGUAAACAUUGACAAACAGGACAGAGCGCCGACAAGCUGUCGUGACUACAGACCUGACAUCUGAGCAACUAAUGAAGAGAAAACUCAUCAGAAAAAAAAAAACUGCCCUCAGCUCAGAAAAAAGGUAAUUAAAUCCCCCAGUCUGACCAAAACGCCGUUUUUAAAAUGUUUUUGUAGCAUUUUUCUGUUGAAGGAGGAGAAUUCUGUACUUAAAAUUGAAUUUCUGAGU